CCGACCGACCCCGAUCUUCUGUGAAGGGUUCGAGUCCGAGCAUACCUGUUGGGACCCGAAAGAUGGUGAACUAUGCCUGAGCAGGGUGAAGCCAGAGGAAACUCUGGUGGAGGCCCGUAGCGAUACUGACGUGCAAAUCGUUCGUCUGACUUGGGUAUAGGGGCGAAAGACUAAUCGAACCGUCUAACGGCAACGUUAGGGAAUCCGGUGACGUCGGCGGGGGCCCCGGGAAGCGUUAUCUUUUCCUUUUAACAGCUUGCCCACCCUGAAAUCGGUUCAAUCGGAGAUAGGGUCCAGCGGCUGGAAGAGCACCGCACGUCCUKCGGUGUCCGGUGCCCUCGGCGGCCCUUGAAAAUCUGGAGCCA
rnacentral:rRNA from 1 species